rnacentral:rRNA from 1 species
UACGGAAGGUCCAGGCGUUAUCCGGAUUUAUUGGGUUUAAAGGGAGCGCAGGCGGACCUUUAAGUCAGCUGUGAAAUACGGCGGCUCAACCGUCGAACUGCAGUUGAUACUGGAGGUCUUGAGUGUACACAGGGAUACUGGAAUUCAUGGUGUAGCGGUGAAAUGCUCAGAUAUCAUGAAGAACUCCGAUCGCGAAGGCAGGUAUCCGGGGUGCAACUGACGCUGAGGCUCGAAAGUGCGGGUAUCAAACAGG